rnacentral:rRNA from 1 species
ACGAACGCACGUGAGUCUAGCUGUCUCCAUCUAAACCCCAAGAACUUAACCUCCAGGUGAAAAGGCCUGGAUAUAACUAAAAGACAAGAAGACCCUAUCGAGCUUUAUUAACUUCUCAGUAAUUUAUAACCACUUAGUGAACUUUUAUCCACUGAAAAAUAAUUUAGUUGGGGCAACUAAGGAAUCCCAUGAGCUUCCUCUAUAUUACUUUCCACUAAACAAAGACCCAGUUUAUCUGACCAAAAGAAUAAGCUACCGUAGGGAUAACAGGUUAAUUUUUCUCGAGAGCCCACAUUGACAGAAAAGUUUGGCACCUCG